GACGAACGCUGGCGGCGUGCUUAACACAUGCAAGUCGAACGGAAAGGCCCUGCUUUUGUGGGGUGCUCGAGUGGCGAACGGGUGAGUAACACGUGAGUAACCUGCCCUUGACUUUGGGAUAACUUCAGGAAACUGGGGCUAAUACCGGAUAGGAGCUCCUGCUGCAUGGUGGGGGUUGGAAAGUUUCGGCGGUUGGGGAUGGACUCGCGGCUUAUCAGCUUGUUGGUGGGGUAGUGGCUUACCAAGGCUUUGACGGGUAGCCGGCCUGAGAGGGUGACCGGCCACCUUGGGACUGAGAUACGGCCCAGACUCCUACGGGAGGCAGCAGUGGGGAAUAUUGCACAAUGGGCGGAAGCCUGAUGCAGAAACGCCGCGUGCGGGAUGGCGGCCUUCGGGUUGUAAACCGCUUUCGCCUGUGACGAAGCGUGAGUGACGGUAAUGGGUAAAGAAGCACCGGCUAACUACGUG
rnacentral:rRNA from 1 species